CUGACCUUAGCUCAGUGGGUAGAGUGGUGGACUGUAGUUGGACUAAUCUAAAUUGGAAAUCCUUAGGUCGCUGGUUUGAUUCCGUCAGGUUGGA
rnacentral:tRNA from 1 species